rnacentral:siRNA from 1 species
AUAUGGUGUCAUGUCGUCAACAUC